rnacentral:rRNA from 1 species
ACUCAAAGGAAUAGACGGGGACCCGCACAAGCGGUGGAUGAUGUGGUUUAAUUCGAUGCAACGCGAAAAACCUUACCUACCCUUGACAUGUCUGGAAUCUCGCAGAGAUGUGAGAGUGCCCGAAAGGGAGCCAGAACACAGGUGCUGCAUGGCUGUCGUCAGCUCGUGUCGUGAGAUGUUGGGUUAAGUCCCGCAACGAGCGCAACCCUUGUCAUUAGUUGCUACAUUUAGUUGGGCACUCUAAUGAGACUGCCGGUGACAAACCGGAGGAAGGUGGGGAUGACGUCAAGUCCUCAUGGCCCUUAUGGGUAGGGCUACACACGUCAUACAAUGGCCGGUACAAAGGGCUGCCAACCCGCGAGGGGGAGCUAAUCCCAUAAAACCGGUCGUAGUCCGGAUCGCAGUCUGCAACUCGACUGCGUGAAGUCGGAAUCGCUAGUAAUCGUGGAUCAGCAUGUCACGGUGAAUACGUUCCCGGGUCUUGUACACACCGCCCGU